UCAGCAGCCGCGGUAAGACGUAGGGGGCGAGCGUUGUCCGGAUUUACUGGGCGUAAAGAGCGCGUAGGCGGCUCGUUAAGUGUGAAGUGAAAUCUCCAGGGCUCAACCCGGAAACUGCUUCGCAUACUGGCGAGCUUGAGGAAUGCAGAGGUAAGUAGAAUUCCUGGUGUAGCGGUGAAAUGCGUAGAUAUCAGGAGGAAUACCGACGGCGAAGGCAGCUUACUGGGCAUUAUCUGACGCUGAGGCGCGAAAGCGUGGGUAGCAAACAGGAUUAGAUACCCUGGUAGUCCACGCCCUAAACGAUGGAUACUAGACGUAAGAGGUAUCGACCCCUCUUGUGUCGCAGCUAACGCACUAAGUAUCCCGCCUGGGGAGUACGGCCGCAAGGUUGAAACUCAAAUAAAUUGACGG
rnacentral:rRNA from 1 species